rnacentral:rRNA from 1 species
UACGAGGGGGGCAAGCGUUGUUCGGAAUUAUUGGGCGUAAAGGGUGCGCAGGCGGCUCCGCAUGUCGGGCGUGAAAUCCCCGGGCUUAACCUGGGAAUUGCGUCCGAAACUAUGGAGCUGGAGUGUGGCAGAGGGAGGUGGAAUUCCACGUGUAGCGGUGAAAUGCGUAGGGAUGUGGAGGAACACCGAUGGCGAAGGCAGCCUCCUGGGCCAACACUGACGCUCAUGCACGAAAGCGUGGGGAGCAAACAGG